rnacentral:ncRNA from 1 species
UGAGAUAGAGGAUGCGCUAUGUCAUCAGUAACGGCACCAAGGCGAUGCAGCGCCGGUGACGCGAAAGGGACAGGCGCCGAAGCUGGCCGAGCUGCAGGGCGGCCUUGCUGGGCAGGCGGAACAAGAUCCGUCUGACUGUCGCAGAAAGAUGCGGAGCGCUAUCA